ensembl:lncRNA
AGAGAGAAUGUGGAGUCUCCUUCCCCGGAGUUAUUCAAAAGCCACCUGGACACCAUCCCAGGCAACCCGCUGUAGGGACCCUGCAGGGAGGUUGGACUUCAGAGGUCCCUUCCAACCUCAACCAUUGCAUAACUCUGUGAAUGCUUCCUAUUGAAGGAAAUCCAUGAGACCUGAAUAAUUAAUAAUGUAACCAGUUAAAAAUUGACUAAAAUUAUCAAAACGAUGCUGAAAAAGAUGUUAAUUGCUUGGCCCACAUUCUUCCCUCAGUGGGAAAUUAUAUUGACAAAUAUCAUACACCAAGAGAAAUCUUGUGGUCAUGAAAUAACACUUGUUACAAAUCAAUCAAUAGUAAUCAUGAAGUUUUGUUGCUUUUUUAAAACUGCUUCAGGAUUCAAUCUAUAUUAAGAUAAUAUAAUUUUAGUAAGGUGGGUUUUUCCUUUUUUUUUUUUUUUUUCCCUGCUUCAUCUAAAGGUGAUUCAUGUUUUUGGGGGGACAAAAUAAAAUAAAUACGAUGAAAACUUUUAAAUGAUUUUAACAAAACAAGUCAUUAUCGAGCAUGGGCAAAAUCAUUCAGUUAAAUUGCACUCGUGGUUGAAAUUAAUUUUCUGAAGCAAGUUCUGAAAGGGGUAGUAGCCAACAAUCAAUAAUCUCUUAAUGAGGUGCAAGAAAAACAUGUGUAGACAUGACAGGUUUUGAUGGCUAAUGAGCUUCAGAGGAUGAACACUGUUCAGAGGAAAACUCUGAAAGGCACAGAAAAUUGAUUAAUUGCCAGCCUACGAUAUUGCAGGAAAACAUUUGGAAAUUCAACAGCCCUCAGACCUCAUGUCAUUUACACCUUCAAUGUGACGUGUUAAUUUUAAGGAAACAUUAUAGCUGAAGGGCGUUGUUUUUCCUCCCUUUCUCUCCCUAGUAGCUAACUCACGAUCAAUCUGCUUGCUGUGAUUUUUUUCCUCAGAAACGAAGUUACCUGAUAAAACUUCCCCAUAAUGUUUACUGGAAUGAAUAACAAAAUGCAAAAGACAGACCACAGGGGGUCCUGAUUCUCUUUUGUGUUAAUAGCUGCUCUGCUGCAUGUAAGACAUAACUAGGCUAACAGACAUUUUGGUCUUCUGUCACUUAUAUUCACAAGUGUCAGCAAUACAACAUAAAAGAGUUUUCAUUUACCAAGAAAAUGAUCAAAAGAUCAUGACCUAUUUUCCUGCAGUUAAACACCUUCUUUUAAGAUGCAGAACUAACCUCUGUUCUACUUCCUACCAGUAGCUCACCUAAGUGGGAACACGUGAUCUGAGCCUGGGAAACUUGAGCUUGGGUUUUAUUGGUAGGACUGUUCUCCAGUCCCUGAGCCUCACAGGAAGGCCUGGAGCAAAGAUUUAACCCCUGUUGAAGAGGAUCAAUUUAGGGAAUGCUGGGAAUGGUGGCUGAUGUCUCUACGAGGCCACUCUUGAUAAUAGCAAGGAGAUAGAAGUUUCCUGUGGACUGGAUGAAAGCAAGCAUCACUCUCAUCUUCAAGAAGGACAAGGAGAAUAAUCCAGAGAACUACAGGUGCAUCAGCCUAGCCUUGAUCUCGAGGAAGCUGCUGAAGCAAAUCCUCCUGCAAACCACUUAUGAAGGACAAAAAACUGACUGAGUAAUCAGGGUGGAUUUCAGAAGGGCAAAUCUGACCAGUCUGGUAGCCCUUUGCAAAAAGAUGGCUGACUUGGCAGAUUCUCCUGUGUCUAACAAGAUGCUGGACCUUCCCCCUCAAGGCUUUCCUGGAGCUGGAGUGCUAUUCUCGUCUCUCCCCAUGUGGGUUCCUUCACAUCUAACAAGGGAUGGACUACUCACCCUUGGGAAAUCCAUCAGGAUGUAAACUAUCACCUCUCUGUCAAACCCGGCUGGAACAGACCAGCAGAUUUAGAAGUCAUGAGGACAGUGAACAGGCAAAUGCAUGUGUAUAUACACACACACAAACGUACACCCAUGUGCUCAUAAGCCUGGUUUCCUAAGGAAACCAGACUAAAAAUAACUGUGUUUGGGUUAUGAAAAGCUAUGGUUGCAAUGUGAGUCGCGUUUCCGCUCGCUGUCAGCAUGCAUUAGAGAUCUUUCUAUUUACACAUUUCCAUGGCCUGUCUCAAAAGACGAUCUGUUAUUUCUCCUAUGAUCUUCUCCUAGCAUCUUGAUAUUUUUUACCACUGUAUAUUCGUACUGCUUUCCUUGUCAGAACACCCCCAAGAAGACUGCCAGUAUAGGCGCAGAUAUUCUAUGUGAAACUUCUUUGCAAUAAGUAUUUUUAUAAGUCAUCAAUUUUAAUAGUUGCUAGAACAGUACAUCUUGUUUUCAACCUGCAGCGUAGCCUGCUUUAUAUACAACUCAGGCAGAAAGCUAUAAAAGGUAAUUUAGCUGUUAACUGCCAAUCUAUAUACGCCAGCAAAAAUGCAAUGUCACUCAAGACCACUAUAUUUAGUCAGAACGUGGCAUAAGGAGUUAACAGAGGUCUUUUUUCCCCUUCACAGAAACUAUUUCUGUAGUUUCAGUCUGGUGCAUGCAAGGCAACACAAGCUAAAGGUUUCUGCACAAGUAUACCUCUUGUUUUUCUAAAAAAAUACACUGUAGUAUUUGAGAUCUGCUGUAAUGCUCUUGCAAACUUUUAAGUGUGGCAUUCAAGGCACUUGGGUUUUUUUUCCUCCACUGACUGCUUCCAACUGACCACCAUACCCUCCUCUCCAGCACAGUCUUAUUUAUGUUUCUUUGAAAGCAUGAGCCUCACAAAAUUGCUCUUUUUUUUUUGGUCAUCUUUCCUUACAAUAAACGUGUUUCAUCU